rnacentral:miRNA from 1 species
UCUGAUAUACUUUUUAGCCACAGACCGGCUCGUGGUUGAAAAGUAUAGUGAAAUCUGAUAUACUUUUAGCCAUAGACCGGCUCGUGGCUAAAAGGUAU